rnacentral:lncRNA from 1 species
CCCAGCACAGACGUGGCUCACAGCCGGCGUUUGAUAGCUACUGUUUCUCAGCCAGGCACGGUGGCUCAUGCCUGUUAUCCUAACACUUUGGGAGGCCAAGGCAUGAGCCACCUCACCCGGCAAGAUACACACACACACACACACACACACACACACACACACACAUAUAUAUUUUUGUAGAGACUGAGUUUGGCCAUGUUGCCCAGGCUGGUCUCGAACUCCUGACCUCAAGCCGUCCUUCCGCCUCGGCCUCCUGAAGCACAGGGGCCACAGGUGCGCGCCACCACUCCCGGCUAAUUUUUGUAUUUUUUUGUAGAGACCAAGUUUGGACUUGUUUCCCUGGCUAACGUCGGCCUCCCGAGGUGCUGGGAUCACAGGUGGCACCAUCCUCU